rnacentral:rRNA from 1 species
UACGUAGGGUGCAAGCGUUAAUCGGAAUUACUGGGCGUAAAGCGUGCGCAGGCGGUUCGCUAAGACAGAUGUGAAAUCCCCGGGCUUAACCUGGGAACUGCAUUUGUGACUGGCGGGCUAGAGUAUGGCAGAGGGGGGUAGAAUUCCACGUGUAGCAGUGAAAUGCGUAGAGAUGCGGCGGAACACCGAUGGCGAAGGCAGCCCCCUGGGAUGACACUGACGCUCAUGCACGAAAGCGUGGGGAGCAAACAGG